AGAGCAGCAAGACCUAAUUUGGGUCACACACUCCGCUAAGCAAGAUGUAAAUAAGUGUAAAGAAGCCCUAGUCCCCGUGAACGGCAAACACAAAGAAAUCAUACCUGUAAAAAGAUGGAUUCAAUGAAGAGAAAGAGUGCUCUGAUGGAGAUACUUACAAGGUAGGAAACAAGGAAGAAUUCGCUGUGUUGAGUGGAGCUGGUGUUGUCCAGUGAAGGUGCUGUGUCAUGAGCUGGGCUGUCCAAGCUCGAGAGUCCGGUCAGGGAGGGUUGUCCCAGUGUGAAACAUCACGUGCAACGCUUGUACUAAGUAUCCCCGUGAAGCAGCCCACACGGGAGGAGCGCGUUAGGAACUAGAUUGGAAAGGAAGGGAGAGGAAGGGAGUCAGGUCUGUAGAAGAAUGCACGUGUACACACACGCGCACACACACACACACACACACACACACACACACACACACACACACCGAGAGGCUGGUGGGAUAGAAGAAAAGCCCAGCCAGUGAGGUCCGACAGGUCAGGACUGGAAUCCUGGCUUCUUGAUCCCUUUGAAUCUCAAUUUUCUCAUCAGUUUAAUACGGGAUUCAUUGCACCUCCUUAGCAGUGCUAUUGUGACUAGAGAUGUCUAUUCGUGUCCUAGAAAAUAAGGGCAUUAGUAGAUGCAUAUACGGUAAGUGAAUAUGUCUGCUUUGAUGGCUACACAUACGCAAUCCCACAUGUAUAAAAUGCUUGCAGACGCUGAUUGAGUUGACGGUGGACACUCAGUAGCUUCACUUCUUUAGUUCCUUCCACGAAUUUCUAUAAAAGUCUUUGGGAGAACAGUAUAGUCAGUACAUCACUAGGCAACACCAACACCGGCUGGUUAGCAAGUGAGUGGUGUCUUUCCCACCACGCCAGCUUUCCUGGGGUAUCUUGUAGCUGAUUAAUACUGUGUCUGAUUGGAUUCACAUUUUUCAAGCUGCAGUGAUGUUCUGCCCAUCCACACUCCCUGCCCAGGGCAUCCUCUGUUUUUUCAGUUCAUGGACACGCCUCCCCAGGCCUCCAGCCAUCAUCAUGAUCUUGUGGUGGGAGAGGGGUGUUGGUACAGAACAGGGGACCACAGAGGGGGAGAAACCAAAAUGAUCCAUUGGCACCAACGGGAGGAUUUCUGAGUUUCCUCCAGCACUUAACACUGUGUUUGCACCACGGCUCUCAGAUAUUUCCAGAUGUGCCCCAUUCUGCUUUUUGUCAGCUGCCAUCUCAGUUUGUUUGCUGUGAAACUCUCCUUUUCUCCUUUGCGGAGAACUCUUCCUGAUUUUGAUCUGAGGCAGCUGUCCUCAGGUAACAACCAGCGGACUCCUGGUAACGGCACUGAUAUAAAUCCUCAGCUUCCCCUCAGUUUCUCGUGAGAAUCACGGGGGCCUGGGGUGCCGAGGUGAGACAGCAGCUUCUCUGACUGUGUCCCAAGGGAGGUGAGCUAUGGGCCUCCAGUGGCUGGUCCCUUACACAUCACCUACCAGAUUUGUUACCAAACCCUGCCUUUGACGCCGAUGUAUGUUUUGAUAGAAGGUUAAUGCAUACAUGAAUACACAACUGUUUGAUUUAUUGUUGUUGUGAGCUCAUCACUCUUUCCUCUAAAUUAAAACUCCCUCCAGAUGGGGAUGUGUGAAGCAGAUUUAUUGAUCUGCAAUAAAACCUCACUCAUAAUCUCUACAGCUGCCCAUUCGUCUUCUCUAGAAAGCGGGUUCAUUACUCUGGAUGUCCCAAGAAUGAAAGCAAGAAGCUAACUUUCUCCUUUGUUCCCUUCCUGCCCCUCCUUUGCUUUCUGCUUCUCUCCUCCCUCCUGUUCUCUGCCCAGCCCUUCCUUUUACUUCACGAGACCAGCUGAAUCCCCCCAAGCAGAAUCUCUCCCAUUUCCCAUCUCCGUCCUGUUCCCUUAUAUUUCUCUUUGCUCUCCUGCCACGCACCUUCAAAAUGUUCUUUUUUUUUUUUUUUUUUGUGGGGCGUCCUGCAAGGGUCGUGACAUUGAAUAGGAUUUGUGGCUGAAAUCCACAGCACAGCUCUCCACUCUGCUCCUUCCAGAUGGGUUUGAACUCCCUGGUUUGGACCAAACCACUGUGACUCAAGAGAUGAAUGAGUGAGUGGCCAGACUGACAGAAGUCAGAGCAAGUGGUAGGUGGGUAGGUGCUAGGUCUGUGGCUGAAGCGGGGUACACGUGGAUAAAGAACGUUUACCACUGAGUGUUUUGCUGGGUCCGAAGAGCCUUCUGAUUGAUUGCCUAGGAGAUAUUCUGGAGUGCACACAUGAUCGAGGCUGCUUCCACUGGUCAGCCAGAUGGCCUGGCCAGUGUGCCAGGAAGCAGAAGAAGUAGCUGUUAUCUCAGACUAACAGAUAGGAAGGGCGAAAGGACUUCUGGAUUCGUGAUCAGAUGAAUUGCCUAGUCAGUUCAGUGGAGUAUCUCUUCAUGUUACUAAAAUCCUCAUGGCUUUUCCUGCUGGAAAAAAAAGCAUCGUCUAGUCUAGCAGAUUUCAGCUGGAGUGUCAUGAUAACCCUGGCGUGUUGCAAUCACCCGUACUGUGUGAUGCAACUUUCCCUUCACGUUACCUGAAAUGUGUUACUUCUAAUAAAGACCUGGUUUUUUACAAAUGAACUACUUACAAACAUCAGUUAGAACAACAUUCUAGGUUAUACUUAUAAUAGCGUCAUUUCACUCACUCUAUUUCUGAUAUGAUCUCUUGGACAGGACUUGGUUGUAGUGAGAGAUGACCUGGCAGAAAUAUACAUUCUUUGCAGGGGAUGAUGGGCAUCUGGUUAGCAUCCAUCACAAGGAGGUGAGAAUCACUGCCCUGGUGUUUCUCUUCCAGGCAGGAGAGCUGUCUUUAGAGGAACUCUGAACACCGUCCCUUGUGGUCCUUGUAGCAUGACGAAGGAUGCAGCCCCUCCCUCUUCAUUUUAAAAUGACAAAGUCACAACCCAGAGCAAGCGAUGAUGGUCCAAGUCCGGGUUUUGAACGUGAAUGCACAAAUUCACACUCAGUGCAACACUUUCCCCUGGCCCCUACCUCCUGCAACAGGCAGGCAUGAAGAGCUUGGGACACUUGGAGGAAGAACAAGGAGGAAAUGAAUUGCCAUUUAUCACUGGAGUCGGGAGGCUACCCCCAAGCAGGUUAAUCACCCCGUGCGGAGAGGGAUGCAGAGCAAGUUUAUGGCUUACAGUGAGCAGGUUGACACAGCUGAUUGAUGUCAAAUAUGCCAUGAUGUAUAUUGUAAAGCAGGGAUAUUUAAUGGCAUAACUCUAUGGCAGGCUUAGAAGUGAGUUGCUGCAAAGUAAGGAGUGAUAGAUAGGCUCAUUUACAUGUUAAAAUUGCCAAUGGCACUGACAACCCUGGUAUGUGAGGGGAAGAUAAGAGGCACAUAGCAAGAUUCACUUUUGUCCUAGUACUGGAAUAUUAAAAUACAGCUGUGCAAGCAUCUGGAGUUUGCAAUGGACUUUAAAGAUAUAAUUAUUUUUCACCUUUCAGCCCUGAGAUAAUCUACAUAUUUUAUGAGGUUUUCUAUAAAGUCACCAUAACAUCCCCGGUUCAAGUAUUUGCAGUAGAUGGUGAUGCUGAUAUGAAAUCAGUUGUAUGGAGAUGGUUUAAUAAAAAUAAAAACACCCCAUGGUUUUUAUCUGUCCCCAGACUAUCAAUCUCCAAAUGCUUAUAGAGUAACAAUGUGAAUGACUGGUACCUUGACUUUUUUUUUUUUUUUUUUCAAUUACAUAGGUACAUUACUUAUUAAAUGAGAACUAUCCUAUAGUUGUGAUGUUUGAGAUAUUUCCAAUUUAUUUUUUUAAUUUAUUUUAUUGAAGUAUAGUAGAUUAUAAUGUGUGUUAAUUCCUACCAUAGAGCAAGUGAUUCAGUUAUACAUGUGUAUAUACAAUAUAUAUACACAUUCUUUUUUCAUAUUCUUUUCCAUUAGGGUUUAUCACAGGACACUGACUGUAGUUCCUGUGCUAUACAGUAGGGCCCUAGUUGUUUAUCCGUUCUCCAUCUAAUAGUUUGCAUCUGCUCAUUAAUCCCAAACUCCCAACCCAUCCCUCCCCCCCCCCUUCCCCCCUCCCCUUGGCAACCACAAGUCUGUUCUCUAUGUCUGUGAGUCUGUUUCUGUUUCGUAGACAAGGUGUUUCUGUCAUAUUUUAGAUUCCACGUAUAAGUGGUAUCAUAUGGGUACCUGGACUUUAAAACUCCAUUUGCCUCCCCGAAACUCUUGCCUUCUAUUGUUUUUCUCUGCCCUAUUCCAGGAAAAGAAUCAGUCUCUCUCUUCUCCCUCUCCCUCUCCCUCUCUGCGUGUGUGUGUGUGUGUGUGAGUGUGUGCGCACUUCUGUCUUAUUCUCCCCUUCCUUUCUCCUCUAAUAAGGAUGCCAUUAUCAUGUGUGGGCUAAUGUCUAUUACAUAUGAGAGUAGGGGAAAAUUGACUUAUCCUCUCAAGAAAUAAUGACGUUUGGAUCAACGCCAGCUAAAUAUUCAGCCAUGAGGAUAGACUCCGGACCUGAACUGGCUGGCUGAAGAGCACUGCAUAUUUGUCCCCAACAUUAGAAAAUGUUAGGAUGGCACUAGAUUCAGCCUCCCCUUCCUCUAUUUAUCCACCCCUCCAUCUUUUCCUCCCUACCCAGUGUGCACCGGGCCUCAUGCAUGGUCCUGGAGACACAGGAGUGAAAGAGACAGAGGUUAGCAUGUGGAACACAGAGGAGGAAAGAACCUCAGGACAGCUCUUCGCAAAGGCUGCUCUAAAAUGUCAGGGAGGCACAGGAGUAUCUCCAUGGGACCAAGGAGAUGGGGUGGCUGUCUGAUAAAGAGCGAGGCCUUCCCCGAGGAACCAGCAUCUGAGGCAAGGUUGAAGGUAGCAAGGCGAAGCGGGAAGGGGGAUUUUACCAAGGAAAAGUCUGCUGCCCGCGUAUCCAGGGCAAGAAAGCGUUUAGCAGAUUUAAGGACCUGCAUCUACGGUGACGCAAGAGAAACAGACACUUGAGAAGGGACAGAAGGAGAUAAAGCUAAAGAAACCAUUCUUGUCCUGCAGAGCCUGGCUACGCCUGCUUGAAAGGUGUGGAUGAGGACACACAGAGUGUCCCUUGGUACAUAGGAAUGUUUCAGAUUUGCUCUGUUUCUGUAUUUGCCUCUAAUAAGCUUGGUCUUAUUCUGAAUGUGAUUGCCAGUUGUGCGGUAAGAAAGACAAGUUGACAAUAAGAAAAUGUAUCAUCAAAACCAUGCCUUUGGGGGUGCUCAUUGCUUGUAAUUAAGCACGUAAUAUUUAGAACUAAGGAUUUACCAAACAUAUUUGUCAAUUCAGUUUAAUGUGUUUUACGUACUUCUUCAAUAACUAGAUGAUUGUUAUCGUGACAGCAAAUUAAUUUUAUACGUUAGUUCAUAGCAUCUGUGCUUUAUCAUCCCAUCAUUCUUUCACUCCUUCAAAACAUACUUUCUGAGAAUUUACUAAGUUCAAGGCACUUUCCUAGGUGAUAGAGACACAAAGAUCGAUAAGAUGAGUCCUUCUCAUAAGCUAAUGAGGAAGACACAUAAGCUGAGCUACUGUGAAGAAUGGAGAGUAGAGGGAUUUAUGGCCUUUGCUGGUAUCUGGGAUUCUCAGCAAAAGAGAUAUCUGUGCUUUAUCUUAAAGAACGUUUUGGGACUCCCCUGGUGGCGCAGUGGUUGAGAGUCCGCCUGCCGAUGCAGGGGAGGCGGGUUCGUGUCCCGGUCCGGGAGGAUCCCACAUGCCGCGGAGCGGCCGGGCCCGUGAGCCAUGGCCGCUGAGCCUGCGCGUCCGGAGCCUGUGCUCCGCAGUGGGAGAGGCCCGCGUAUCG
rnacentral:lncRNA from 1 species